rnacentral:guide_RNA from 1 species
AUAAAUAAUGACAUAACUAGGUUAGUAAAGUGACGAAGAAGAUAAUAUAAUU